rnacentral:rRNA from 1 species
AAUGAACGCUGGCGGCGCGCCUAAUACAUGCAAGUCGAGCGAGAAGACGUAGCAAUACGUUUGUAAAGCGGCGAACGGGUGAGGAAUACAUGGGUAACCUACCCUCGAGUGGGGAAUAACUAGCCGAAAGGUUAGCUAAUGCCGCGUACGCUUCUUGGACUUCGGUUCAGGGAGGAAAGCGAUGCCGAGGGUAUCGCGCUCUUGGACGGGCUCAUGUCCUAUCAGCUUGUUGGGAGGUAACGGCUCACCAAGGCUUCGACGGGUAGCUGGUCUGAGAGGGCGAUCAGCCACACUGGCACUGCGACACGGGCCAGACUCCUACGGGAGGCAGCAGUAAGGAAUAUUGCGCAAUGGGCGAAAGCCUGGCGCAGCGACGCCGCGUGCGGGAAGAAGGCCU